rnacentral:lncRNA from 1 species
AAAAAGAAAAGUAUUGCACACAAUAUAUUUAUGACCGGUGUAGCACCAAUCUCUUGGAGCUCAAAUAAAGAAAAGUUUUACAAAAUGAAUUCUACUCAAAAACGUGUUAUCAAAACUCGCCCAAACACAAACAUUUAUGAAUAUAAAUUUCACUCUUCACAUUAUAGAAUGUAUUCAAGUUGGAAACACAACCUACAUGUUUCUUCAAUUCUAGUUUAUUAGAGAAGUAUAUAUAUCAGCUACAUAAAUGCAAGGAAGACCCAUCACAGUAGCCCUUGUGCACAAAUAAGGUACUGGUCAUCAGAAAGGAACUUCCGGUAACGGGAGAGGAUCCAAGCUUCAACUAAAGAGGUGGAUACAAAAACUACAGUGGUGUAGUAUAAGAAACACAUCGGGAAUUUUGUAGAAUCUCAAAGACAAGUACUGCAGUCCCCAAAAUGACAGUGAUCCUCAUCACUCGAAACAAAAUGAAGAUUUCCUUUCUCUAUUUUAACGCCUCUGCAGACCCGAGCUUAUUUUACAUUCGUAUCCAAUCAUAUAAAGAAACAUUUAUUGCAUCUGAAUUGAUGCUUCCUUUUUGCUCGCUAAGCAUCUACCUGACCUCAAACUGUUUGUUCGACUUGUUCUUGUUUAUCAUCAUCUGUCAGUUGGCUUCUAAGGAAGUCUAGAACUGAUAGCCGCUAUAAGAACAAAAACAUAUGUUAAUUUCAAGAUCUUAUGUUGAAAUGCAGCACAAAAUGAAACCUAAACAAACAUGAUUGGUGUAAAUUACAUAAUGAAACUUCGGUGAGUAUAUAAGCUAGUAAGGUAAAAUCCACUUAAUAAGGCCCUUUUGGACAAACAUCUAAUUAAGUGCUUAGUGUAAGACCUCAUCAUACAAGUGCUUAGGUUAUUUCUAUACAAACCAAACAACCAAGCCUUAUCCCACUAGUGGAGUCGGCUACAUGGAUCAAAUUUUGCCAUAAUGUUCUAUCAACAAUACAUUUCUAUGACGGUAAAUAAAAUUGAUCUUUUUCCUAUAAAUUAUAAACAUUUUCAUAAACUAUCUUAAAGAGGUUACAUAAAUAAGCUAAAAAUUACUUAUGGAUAUGUCAUAAGUUGUUUCUAUAAAUUCUCCAGAAUAUUGCUCUACAUGGGNGCAUGAAUUUGAAAUGUUUGACCUAGGAAAUGUUUCAUAUUUCUUAGGGAUGGAGUUUAAAGACACAUGUGAAAGAAUGUUCUUGCACCAGAAGAAGUAUGCUCAAGAAAAGGUUCAAGAUGAGCAACUGUAGUAAAACUGCCACACCAUUCGACACCGGAGCAAAAUUGAGAAAGAAUACAAAUGAUGAAUUUGUAAGUGCACAUUGUACAAGUAAAUAAUUGGAUCCUUAAGGUAUAUAUAAGCAAUACCAGACCCGUCAUUUGUCAAAAAGUUGUGCUAUUAAGCUGAGUUAUGAAGAAGCCAUAAAAAUGUCAUCUCAAUGUAGUAAAGAGAGUGUUAAGAUACAUAAAGGGAACAAUCGACCAUGGUGUGUUAAUUUCAAAUGUGUUAAUUUCAAGGUAGAAGAAUACAAACACAGAUGUAGAGAUACAUGGCUACACUAAAUUUGAUUUAAGUGGAGACCAAAAUAAAAAGAAAAGUAUUGCACACAAUAUAUUUAUGACCGGUGUAGCACCAAUCUCUUGGAGCUCAAUAAAGAAAAGUUUUACAAAAUGAAUUCUACUCAAAAACGUGUUUAUCAAAACUCGCCCAAACACAAAGAUUUAUGAAUAUUCUAUAAAUUUCACUCUUCACAUUAUAGAAUGUAUUCAAGUUGGAAACACAACCUACAUGUUUCUUCAAUUCUAGUUUAUUAGAGAAGUAUAUAUAUCAGCUACAUAAAUGCAAGGAAGACCCAUCACAAUAGCCCUUGUGCACAAAUAAGGUACUGGUCAUCAGAAAGGAACUUCCGGUAACGGGAGAGGAUCCAAGCUUCAACUAAAGAGGUGGAUACAAAAACUACAGUGGUGUAGUAUAAGAAACACAUAGGGAAUUUUGUAGAAUCUCAAAGACAAGUACUGCAGUCCCCAAAAUGAUAAUGAUCCUCAUCACUCGAAACAAAAUGAAGAUUUCAUUUCUCUAUUUUAACGCCUCUGCAGACCCGAGCUUAUUUUACAUUCGUAUCCAAUCAUAUAAAGAAACAUUUAUUGCAUCUGAAUUGAUGCUUCCUUUUUGCUCGCUAAGCAUCUACCUGACCUCAAACUGUUUGUUUGACUUGUUCUUGUUUAUCAUCAUCUGUCAGUUGGCUUCUAAGGAAGUCUAGAACUGAUAGCCGCUAUAAGAACAAAAACAUAUGUUAAUUUCAAGAUCUUAUGUUGAAAUGCAGCACAAAAUGAAACCUGUAUUCAAGAUACUAAGUAAUGAUAACACUCCAUACUAGGCUUAUAUUAGACACUUUACAUAAUAAGUUAGUGUAAUACAAAUUUAGCAAUCUACAUUGAAUCAAGUUAUAUCAACUUGAUAUCAUGUUUGCAUUUGAAUCACACGCUAUAUUGCUACUGUCAAUUUUAAUUUCUAUGAAAUCUUAGGCUUAAUUUACUCCAAUUAGGACUUCCAUUCAACUGCAUAACUGUCAUUUUGUGUGCAUGUGUGGGUGUGUUUGUAAAGAGCAAUUAUGAUGUCGAUGGUAUGCUUCCACAUAUAACAAGCUCGCACUAAGCGAUCUUGAAUCAAAGGGUGGCAAUGAAAGGGGAAAAUGAACAAAAGAGGAGUUAUUCACACUCAUUUCUCAUGGAGAGAAAUUCAUUCACAUUAGUUCAAAUUGAGUCUCAACGCAUUUAAAGAAAGACUCAACCUAAUCCUAACAUGGGCCAGAGGGCGAUUCUCUAGGCCGUAUUAUUAGGCCUACACCACUCAAUAAAAAAAUUAUUACGAUUCAAAUUAAACACAAAUAAAACUAAAACUAUUCUAAAGUCUUGACUUAAAAUUUUUCUUGUUUUCUCCUAAUUAGUUCACUUAGGUCCUCAUCAAAUUAAGUUACUAUAUGAGUAAAUCUUGCCAUUAUUGAAAGUUUAAGCAAUGAUAUUUAACAAAGUAACUCUGCAAAAGUUAUUCACUGAGUAAUUUGAUUCCUCCUAUAUAUAUUAUAUAUGUAUACACACGUCUGGCGUUGUGUUAUGGAUGCGGAAACAGAGGGGGAUACAAUAAUAUAGCACUUCUUUAUUAGCAUAAAGUAAACAACUUACCUUGCUCAAGCCCACUGGCUUCAGAUUUUAAAGUAAGUGAUUCCAGCAAGUUUAUAGCUUCUUGAAAUCCGUCACUAGCCGACUUUUCAUC